ensembl:snRNA U6 U6 spliceosomal RNA
GUGCUCGCUUUGGCAGCACAUAUGCUGAGAUUGGAAUAUAUUUUACACUGAGAUUAGCAUGGCCUUUGUGCAAGGAUGACAUGCAAAUUUGUGAAGCAGUCCGUAUUUUA